rnacentral:rRNA from 1 species
CAGCAGCCACGGGAAUACGAAGGGGGCUAGCGUUGCUCGGAAUGACUGGGCGUAAAGGGCGCGUAGGCGGAUUGUUUAGUUAGGCGUGAAAUUCCUGGGCUUAACCUGGGGACUGCGCUUAAUACAGGCAGUCUAGAGUGAGGAAGAGGGUUGUGGAAUUCCCAGUGUAGAGGUGAAAUUCGUAGAUAUUGGGAAGAACACCGGUGGCGAAGGCGGCAACCUGGUCCUUGACUGACGCUGAGGCGCGAAAGCGUGGGGAGCAAACAGGAUUAGAUACCCCGGUAGUCCCUGUCUCUUAUAC